GAUGAACGCUGACAGAAUGCUUAACACAUGCAAGUCCACUUGAACUUCGGUUUGGGUGGCGGACGGGUGAGUAACGCGUAAAGAACUUGCCUCACAGCUAGGGACAACAUUUGGAAACGAAUGCUAAUACCUGAUAUUAUGAUUUUAGGGCAUCCUAGAAUUAUGAAAGCUAUAUGCGCUGUGAGAGAGCUUUGCGUCCCAUUAGCUAGUUGGAGAGGUAACGGCUCACCAAGGCGAUGAUGGGUAGCCGGCCUGAGAGGGUGAACGGCCACAAGGGGACUGAGACACGGCCCUUACUCCUACGGGAGGCAGCAGUGGGGAAUAUUGGACAAUGGACCAAGAGUCUGAUCCAGCAAUUCUGUGUGCACGAUGAAGUUUUUCGGAAUGUAAAGUGCUUUCAGUUGGGAAGAAAAAAAUGACGGUACCAACAGAAGAAGUGACGGCUAAAUUCGUG
rnacentral:rRNA from 1 species